rnacentral:rRNA from 1 species
GUCUAUAUAGAAAAAAGAUAUAUAGUCUAACCCUGCCCACUGAAAAAUUUAAAGGGCCGCGGUAUUCUGACCGUGCUAAGGUAGCAUAAUAAAUAGUCUUUUAAUUGGAGUCUGGUAUGAAUGGUUGGACAUGAAGCUAUCUGUCUCGGACGUGUGUAUUGAAUUUUACUUUUAAGUGAAAAGGCUUAAAUACAGUGGAGUGACGAUAAGACCCUAUAAAGCUUAUAUUUUGCAUAGUAAUUAGAGGAUAUUAGGUUUUUUAUGUUGCUAGGUAAAAUAUUUCGUUGGGGCGACGGGAAUAUAAUAUAUAAGUAACUGUUCUUAAGAUAAAAUAAGUAUUAUUAGUGAGGUUGAUCCUUUAUAAAGAUUAUAAGAGUUAAGUUACUUUAGGGAUAACAGCGUAAUUUUUUUUGAGAGUUCAUAUCGACAAAAUUAGUUGCGACCUCGAUGUUGAAUUAAGAUAUAUUUAAGGUGUAGAAGCUUUAGUAGUAGGUCUGUUCGACCUUUAAAAUCUU